rfam:Freshwater sediment metagenome lwFormate_C678, whole genome shotgun sequence.
CCUGCUAUGCGACUAGCAGUAGCCUAGGGAGACGUGCGUCACUGGUAACGGUGGGGUAUGAAGCUCUCCUGACAAUGUAGCCCCCGCAAAGGGUGUUCAAGGAUCGCGAGGUCUUCGGGCAGAGACUCCGAGCAGCAACGGGGUCGAGGAG